ensembl:snRNA U2 U2 spliceosomal RNA
CUCGCUUCUCGGCCUUUUGGCUAAGAUCAAGUGUAGUAUCUUUCUAUCACGUUGAUAUCCAAGGAGCUCCAGGGGGCGUGCAGAGUUCUGCUCCUCCCUGUUUUAUCCUCACAACAACCUUGCGAGGGAGGAUAGAGGCCGA